GAUGAACGCUGGCGGCGUGCCUAAUACAUGCAAGUCGAGCGAACAGACGAGGAGCUUGCUCCUUUGACGUUAGCGGCGGACGGGUGAGUAACACGUGGAUCACCUCCCUAUAAGACUGGGAUAACUUCGGGAAACCGGAGCUAAUACCGGAUAAUAUCUUGAACCGCAUGGUUCGAUAGUGAAAGACGGCUUUGCUGUCACUUAUAGCUGGAUCUGCGCCGGAUUAGCUAGUUGGUAAGGUAACGGCUUACCAAGGCUACGAUGCGUAGCCGACCUGAGAGGGGGAUCGGCCACACGGGAACUGAGCCACGGUCCAGACGCCUACGGUAGGCAGCAGUAGGGAAUCGUCCGCAAUGGGCGAAAGCCUGACGGAGCAACGCCGCGUGAGUGAUGAAGGUCUUCGGAUCGUAAAACUCGGUUAUGAGGGAAGAACAAAUGUGGAAGUAACUGUGCACGGCGUGACGGUACCUAAUCAGAAAGCCACGGCUAACUACGUG
rnacentral:rRNA from 1 species